UACGGGGGGAGCAAGCGUUGUUCGGAUUUACUGGGCGUAAAGGGCGCGUAGGCGGCAAUUCAAGUCAGCUGUGAAAUCUCCGGGCUUAACUCGGAACGGUCAGCUGAUACUGCUUUGCUAGAGUGCGGAAGGGGCAAUCGGAAUUCUCGGUGUAGCGGUGAAAUGCGUAGAUAUCGAGAGGAACACCUGAGGUGAAGACGGGUUGCUGGGCCGACACUGACGCUGAGGCGCGAAAGCCAGGGUAGCAAACGGG
rnacentral:rRNA from 1 species